GAAUUUUUGAACUGGUUCUGAGCUGUCGAGAAUGCAGCGGGCGGCUUUUUCGUUCGAUUACGUUUUCGUUGUGCAAUUCACAGAUGCUUUUUCAUCGCUUGGAAACAUAAAACAAAAAUGUGUACUAAAAUGUUAACAUCUGAAAUUUCUGAAAUCUAACCAAUAACAGCAAGAUUACCUAUGCACACUCAGACUUUGAAAAAAUCAAGUUACAUUUUUCGUCGGUCGAUUUUAGAACUGGUCCGGAGCUAUCGAAAAAGGUAUGCAGCGGGGGCGUCGGGGGUACUUAAGUACCGAACCAGUUCGGCACUAGUGCGUUUCUGCACAAGAUUACUCAUCACUUCUUUUGCAGCGUUUUGGAUAUUGGUCAUCUGCUGCUGCCUUCCAACUAUUUUAUUUGUGAGCAUGUGCUUAGCUCGCAUGAGUCACCCUACGGGGGAAGACCUCAUAUUAAGCAAGUGUGAUGCAUUACUUAUCG